rnacentral:rRNA from 1 species
GACGAACGCUGGCGGCGUGCCUAAUACAUGCAAGUAGAACGCUGAAGGAGGAUCUUGCUCUUCUGGAUGAGUUGCGAACGGGUGAGUAACGCGUAGGUAACCUGCCUGGUAGCGGGGGAUAACUAUUGGAAACGAUAGCUAAUACCGCAUAACAGUAGAUGUUGCAUGACAUUUACUUAAAAGGUGCAAUUGCCUCACUACCAGAUGGACCUGCGUUGUAUUAGCUAGUUGGUGGGGUAACGGCUCACCAAGGCGACGAUACAUAGCCGACCUGAGAGGGGGGUCGGCCACACUGGGACUGGGACACGGCCCAGACUCCUACGGGAGGCAGCAGUAGGGAAACUUCGGCAAUGGACGGAAGUCUGACCGAGCAACGCCGCGUGGGUGAAGAAGGUUUUCGGAUCGUAAAGCUCUGUUGUAAGAGAAGAACGAGUGUGAGAGUGGAGAGUUCACACUGUGACGGUAUCUUACCAGAAAGGGACGGCUAACUACGUG